ensembl:misc_RNA 7SK 7SK RNA
AGAUGUGAGCGCUGAUCUGUCACCACAUUGAUCAACAGGGUUGAUUCUGCUGAUUGGGCUGGCUAGGCGAGUGACCCUUUCCUCCCUCACCACUCUGUGUGUGUCCCUCCUGAAGCUGCACUCUCAGUCAAAGAGAAUGACCUUACCCAAACAGAGAUGUACUGGUCUUUGGUGACGAGUAUAUGAGUAGCUGUGGUCUCUUGCUAGAACCUCCAAACAAACUUUUAUCCUCUCUUCUUCUUCUAGCAUUUGCCCUUCUUCCGUAGCCAGUCAACAGCGUCAGGUUGAAAGCUGUCAGGAGCUGCUUGUUGCUGGCUUU